rnacentral:rRNA from 1 species
UUCCAGACUCCUACGGGAGGCAGCAGUGGGGAAUACUGCACAAUGGGGGAAACCCUGAUGCAGCGACGCCGCGUGAGCGAUGAAGUAUUUCGGUAUGUAAAGCUCUAUCAGCAGGGAAGAAAAUGACGGUACCUGACUAAGAAGCCCCGGCUAACUACGUGCCAGCAGCCGCGGUAAUACGUAGGGGGCAAGCGUUAUCCGGAUUUACUGGGUGUAAAGGGAGCGUAGACGGCAAUACAAGUCGGAAGUGAAAUACCCGGGCUCAACCUGGGAACUGCUUUGGAAACUGUAUGGCUAGAGUGCUGGAGAGGUAAGCGGAAUUCCUAGUGUAGCGGUGAAAUGCGUAGAUAUUAGGAGGAACACCGGCGGCGAAGGCGGCCUGCUGGACCGCGACUGACGUUGAGGCUCGAAAGCGUGGGGAGCGAACAGGAUUAGAUACCCGGGUAAU